UGGAAUGAAGUAUGUCCUCAUGAGAAAUGGUUUUCCUUCAGCUCUGAGCAAAAACCAGAGAUAGAGAAAUACAUCUCUUCCAUAAGGAUGAAACGGCUUGGAGCACAAAAGAAUGCAAAUACUAUUAUUACUUAGCAAUGAUGAUUCUCUUUGGCCGCGAGCACAUAAGAACAUGAUUCUGAUAAGCGAAGAGGAAAACGGCUGACUCAAAACUCUUCGACAUGUGAUUUUGAAUCGCAUUGAGUAUUGCUUUAUCAACAACCCAAAAAGCUCUGUUUGUAUGCUAAUGUUCGUUCGGAUUCCCUUAAGUAUGAAACGAUCUUUUGAUAGUUUAUGAGUUGUUUUUAUGUUUCAAGAAUUUCUGAAAAGUGAACAAACAGAUUCUAUAAUUCUUAUUUUGUUUUUGUAUUUUCAAUUUUCAAUAGACGAGGUCAUUCAUUAUA